AACUUUCAGCAAUGGAUCACUUGGCUCUUGCAUCGAUGAAGAACGCAGCGAAAUGCGAUACGUAAUGUGAAUUGCAGAAUUCAGUGAAUCAUCGAAUCUUUGAACGCACCUUGCACCCUUUGGCAUUCCGAAGGGUAUGCUCGUUUGAGUGUCAUUGUACUCUCACACUCCCGAUGCUUUUGGAUUGGGAGUGGUGGACUUGGGUGUUGCUGCUUUACUGUGGCUCACCUCAAAUGGAGUAGUGCACCUCUUGGUUGGACAUAGUACGGCGUGAUAAGUGUCUUCGCCGGCGCCUCAUUAGAGGGUGGCCGAUCGGGAGCUCUGUACUUCAAACCGUCUUCGAACAACAUCUGACAACUUGACCUCAAAUCGAGUAGGACUACCCGCUGAACUUAAGCAUAUCAAUAAGCGGAGGCU
rnacentral:misc_RNA from 1 species